UUCUGUGUUCUUUUUAUUGGGGAAAGAACAAGAUGAAAAAGAGAAUUAUUUUAUCAUAUGAUAAAAGAGAUUUGGGAUGAAUUAGUACUACUUUAGUAUGUUCGAGUAUAUUUUUUGUAGUAAGUUUUCCUUGGAUGGGUAAGAUUAUUAUUAUUUUCUUCCCAAGUGCAUUCAAGCAUUGCACCCCUUCAGUUUUCUUUUCAAUGAGAAAAGUUAUUUUGUGCAUAAAGGCUAAGAUGUGCACUUUGAUUAUUUUUCCUAUAUUCUUGGUUUUAUAUAACUAUGAGAAGAAGUAAAUGAACAGAUGUUGUCUCCUAACAAUAUUUGAACAUGAGUU
rnacentral:lncRNA from 1 species